AGUACAUUUGAGUUACUGAGCUAAACUUCAGCAAGUCCCGUAUUGUAAUAUAAAUAUGGCUGUGUCGUUAUCUGACCAAUAUGUCCUGUUUAUAUACUACAAAACGUCGGCCAGGAGAACAGGCUCUUACGAGAACAGUUAAUAUUAAAGACGACUAUAAACGAGACGAAGUUGUCCAUCGAAGAUAUGAAGGUUGAUAAAAUGGACAAUUUGUCAAACAGAACUGCGAGACACGUUGCCAAAGCUAUGCAGGGUAAGCAUUUGUACUUAUAUCUGAUAAAUUGUGUAUACAUGUCAUUUCAAUGGUAUAGAACGCUCUGAUUUAAUGAAAGUUUAGGCUCCUAAAAUAAUUGCGCCAAAUAUUCAAAGGCUAAUUCAAGAUUGCUGAACUCAGUCAUAGAUGCUGGUUAAUAAUUUAUUACAUGCAAAUCACUGCUAAAAAUACUACAGUAUAUACCCCAUUUACUGUAUAAAUAUUAUAGAACCCUUGUCUUUGCCCUUGGCAGGCAAAACGUGCAAGUUAUGUUUACGCAAUAUAUUUCUGAUCUGCACUGUUGUGUUAUGCCUGACUCAGGGAGGACAGGCAUACCUAGGGGAAUUUGACAGUUUCAAUUUUGCUACUGUAUGUAUGACAAUAAGCUCCACUGCAGAGCACCACUUUUUAGUCAAUCUUUGUCAAAUUUUCCCCUAUUAAGAAAUUUCAAGUUGCGAGAACUCGAGUCAAUUCCUGUGUAUGCCAUCCUUCUCCAGGCGGACAAAACAUUGCUUCGUGCAUUAUUCCAAAGUGCAUAUCACAAUCACAAAACUCUUCACAGCCUAGGUUAACAAGGCAAGGAUUAAGUGUCUAUUGUACUAUAGUGUACCUAGUGCUGUAUUUCAUAUAUGGAGGCAGACCAGCCCAGGUAUCCAAGCAAGUAACAAGGCACCCAGACUGGCCACAGCCUACUACAGUUGAGGUAGGCCAUUACGCUUGGGCAGGUCAGUUCAGUUCUCAUGUUAUCGCAAGAUUAAAUUGGACAAUUGACAAGAAAUAAUACCAAAUGUGGUGUCUCUCCAAAACCAGACCAGCUCGGGUACCCUGGCUUCUCUUUCUUGCUUGCGAAAUGUGAAUUUACUUUUUGUGUUAAAUUUCUUGAGGCACUAUUAAAGCUGUGUACAGUGUAAAAUAGCAUAGUAAGUGCACCAGGAGGGAUUGUGCCUUAAUGGUUUAACAUAUAUCUAUUUUUUAUAGGAUUAUGUUCGUCGUAAACUGAAAGCAUUGAAUGCUUAUGAGAGUAAUCUAGCA